GAUGAACGCUGACAGAAUGCUUAACACAUGCAAGUCGAUUCAAUUUACCUUCGGGUAUUGAGGAUGGCGGACGGGUGAGUAACGCGUAAGGAACUUGCCUCUUGGUCUGGGACAACUGUUGGAAAUGACAGCUAAUACCGGAUAUUAUGAGAUUCUCGCAUGGGAAACUUAUGAAAGCUAUAUGCGCCAAGAGAGAGCCUUGCGUUCCAUUAGCUAGUUGGUGGGGUAACGGCCCACCAAGGCGACGAUGGAUAGCCGGCCUGAGAGGGUGAACGGCCACAAGGGGACUGAGACACGGCCCUUACUCCUACGGGAGGCAGCAGUGGGGAAUAUUGGACAAUGGGCCACAAGCCUGAUCCAGCAAUUCUGUGUGCACGAUGAAGGUCUUCGGAUUGUAAAGUGCUUUCAGUUGGGAAGAAGAAAGUGACGGUACCAACAGAAGAAGCGACGGCUAAAUACGUGCCAGCAGCCGCGGUAAUACGUAUGUCGCAAGCGUUAUCCGGAUUUAUUGGGCGUAAAGCGCGUCUAGGCGGAAAAAUAAGUCUGAUGUUAAAAUGCGGGGCUCAACUCCGUAUUGCGUUGGAAACUGUUUUUCUAGAGUACUGGAGAGGUGGGCGGAACUACAAGUGUAGAGGUGAAAUUCNUAGAUAUUUGUAGGAAUGCCGAUGGAGAAGUCAGCUCACUGGACAGAUACUGACGCUAAAGCGCGAAAGCGUGGGGAGCAAACAGGAUUAGAUACCCNGGUAGUCCACGCCGUA
rnacentral:rRNA from 1 species